GGUCGUGGGCACCGGUCCGCUCCUCACGGAGUGUGCACCAGGGGUCCACUGCCAUUCCUCGGGGAGAGCGCAUCUGGCAUUCAGUUGUCGGGUGCGGGAUCCUCGUCAUUUACUGUGAGCAAAAUAGAGUGUUCAAAGCAGGCUUAGGCCGUUGAAUAUAUUAGCAUGGAAUAAUAAGAUAGGACCUUGGUCUAUUUUGUUGGUUUGCACUCCAAGGUA
rnacentral:rRNA from 1 species